rfam:Caenorhabditis japonica strain DF5081 Contig18175.26, whole genome shotgun sequence.
GCAUUUCUGCUGUGAGUGGCAGAGCGUCUGUCUAGUAAACAGAAGGGCGCUGGUUCGAUUCCAGCAUGAGGCA